GGAGUGGUAGCGGAGCGUUCCGUAAGCCUGCGAAGGUGCACUGCGAGGUGUGCUGGAGGUAUCGGAAGUGAGAAUGCUGGCAUGAGUAGCGAUAAAGAGUGUGAGAAACACUCUCGCCGAAAGUCCAAGGGUUCCUGCGCAAUGCUAAUCUGCGCAGGGUUAGCCGGCCCCUAAGUCGAGGCAGAAAUGCGUAGACGAUGGGAACACUGUUAAUAUUCAGUGGCCUGGUGGUAGUGACGGAUCUGUAGAGUGGUUUCCCCUUAUUGGAUUGGGGAGGCUGUGAGCAGGUUCCAGGAAAUAGCUCCACCGACAUAGACCGUACCCCAAACCGACACAGGUGGACAGGUAGAGUAUACCAAGGCGCUUGAGAGAACGAUGCUGAAGGAACUCGGCAAAUUGCCUCCGUACCUUCGGAAGAAGGAGGCCCUGGAUCGACGCAAGUCUUUUCAGGGGGCACAGGCCAGGGGGUAGCGACUGUUUACUAAAAACACAGGGCUCUGCGAAGUGGAGAACACGACGUAUAGGGUCUGACGCCUGCCCGGUGC
rnacentral:rRNA from 1 species